rnacentral:rRNA from 1 species
UACAGAGGUCUCUAGCGUUGUUCGGAUUUACUGGGCGUAAAGGGAGCGUAGGCGGCCAGGUGUGUUGAACGUGAAAUCCCACGACUCAACCGUGGAACGGCGUUCAAAACUGCCUGGCUCGAGUACUGGAGAGGAGAGCGGAACUCCUGGUGUAGCGGUGGAAUGCGUAGAUAUCAGGAAGAACACCGGUGGCGAAGGCGGCUCUCUGGCCAGAUACUGACGCUGAGGCUCUAAAGUCAGGGGAGCAAAC